rnacentral:rRNA from 1 species
CAGCAGCCGCGGUAAUACGUAGGGGGCAAGCGUUAUCCGGAUUUACUGGGUGUAAAGGGAGCGCAGACGGCAGUGCAAGUCUGAAGUGAAAGGCGUGGGCUCAACCCAUGAACUGCUUUGGAAACUGUAUAGCUUGAGUGUCGGAGGGGUAAGCGGAAUUCCUAGUGUAGCGGUGAAAUGCGUAGAUAUUAGGAGGAACACCGGAGGCGAAGGCGGCUUACUGGACGACAACUGACGUUGAGGCUCGAAGGCGUGGGGAGCAAACAGGAUUAGAUACCCCCGUAGUCCCUGUCUCUUAUAC